rnacentral:lncRNA from 1 species
UGUUAACAUGACAUACGUUUACGUUACAUAUCAAACUAAAAUGAAAAAAUAAAUUAAAGAAGACUUUCAUCCCUAACAUGGCUUAGGGAAACGUAUAUUCGAAAAAAUUAUUUGUCACCCACUAUUAUUUGCCACCCAUACCCGCGACCUGCGGAUACCCGCCACCCGUUGGGUAUCCACCACCCGCUACCCGUCGGAUACCCGUCACCCACUACUCGUCGGAUACUCGCCGAGAUUUGAAAGGUAGGGGCACUGCUGCUUCUCUGCGUUGACAUCCUGCAAUCAACCACCCAGCAAAUAAAUCACCACGAAAUUGUAGCAAAUUUUAGAGAAAAUUUCAAAUUCUUGUGCACUACUAUUUGUCACCCAUACCCAUGACCCGCGGAUACCCGUCACCCGUAGGGUAUCCACCAAUCUACUAUUCGUCGGAUACCCGCCAUCCGCUACCCAUCGAAUACCCGUCGAGGCUUGAGAGGUAGGGGCGUUGCUGCUUCUCGGCGUUGACAUCCUGCAAUUAACCACUCAAUAAAUGCAAUAAAUCACCCAACAAAUAAAUCACCAUGAGACUUGAUCUGCAAAUUUUGGAGAAAAUUUUAAUUUCUUGUACACCAGUGGGAUCUCAAUCCUCGUACACGUCAUUUUUUAUAUAUACACAAUCAUAAUUGUGUUCUCUUUCACCUAUGUUGCUAUUCAUGCUUUAUGUUUCUUGAUUUGUGUAUGCAUUUCUUUCUCAAUGACUGUAUAAAUUCCCAAGUGUAAGCAAUAUUGUACUCCAAUUGUCGGUGAUGACACCGAAUAUAUGAAGUUAGGCUGUACUGCAUAUCUACUCAUGAUAAACCUUUUAAUUACUUUAAUUAAAAAUGUUUUUUUUUUUGGUUUGACACUAUACAAACGAUCGUUGCAUCUACUCUUGAUAAACCUUUUAAUUAAAAAUGUUUUUUUUUUUGGUUUGACACUAUACAAACGAUCGUUUUUAAAUAACAUAUGGUUAGUAUAAUAAUAAGGAUAAAAAAAAUAAUUUCAUAUCUUCUCCUUUUCCCUAUACAACUUUCUCAUUGUUUUAAUUGAUCAUUGAUCUGCUGAGCCAUGCUCCUGUCUUAACAAAGGAUAAACAUGUCAAAAUGCUAUAUGUAUCCAAUAAUAAAAUUCAACAAAGGUUAAGAUUUGCAAAAUGUAUCCAAUAACCAAAUUUAACAGAGGUUAAGAUAUGCACAACACAGAUAACUAACUAAUCAAAGUGUUAGACAUCCAGUUGGAGAUUCAUAUUGCAUCUCUCUCCUCUCACAAACAAUAUUAAAGUAAUUAAUACAGUCAUUGAGAAAGAAUUGGUAGGGGCGCUGCUGCUGUACCUCAAUAAUAGCUGGUUAUGAGCCAUAGGCAGCGAGCAAUUCUUUCCAAAAAUUAAGGAACAUCAAAUCUACUACCCAAUAAAUUUCACCUGUCAUUUGCAAACAUAUCAAAAAUCAAUUGUAGACUUUCAACGGAUUCACAAGCUGUAGUAUGAAAAUGUCCAGGUUUUAGAACAUAAGGAUAUGAGCUAAAGCGGAGAAACACGAAACUUGAAUCAGUCUUCUGACGCUUAUGUAGGCCAUGAAGAAACCCAAAAAAAAAUUGAUCUUUAUAUAUUAUCUACACUCUAUGAAAAGGGGAAAGUAUCAAUCCUGUUGACACUAAAGAGAACGCAACACCAACAAAAAUCAAGGCAAAAAUGAUGGUAAAAGUCAGCUAUAACAUAAACAAAUAUAAUCAAAAGUUAUCAUUGAUUUAUACCACUGACAAUCCAAUAAAGCUUAAUAAAUCUAUAUAACCAAUCAAGAAAAUAAAUCCAAAAGAAAGAAACAACAACUAAAUCCAAUCUACAACACGGAGAUAAAGAUAAAUUGCGGCGAUCUCAAAACACAUUUGGGAAAAUAAUAAUAUUUUAAAAAAUAAAUAAUGAAAUUAAGCUUACUUUGAACCAGAACGAAGAGUGGAAGCCACAAAUCACCAUUGAUUGGCUGUAAAACUCUCAUCAUUUGAACUAAUGAAUUUAUAGCUAAAACCUAGAUUAUUAAGUUUCCAUUGUUAAUUUGUAUCUAAAAUUGGCUGCUUAUUGAUUGAUAGGUAAAUCAUAUAAUCGUAUUGACAUAAUGUAUUUACUUUUACCUAAAAUUUUGUUACUUUACUAAAAUUCACACUAAUCAUUCCAUAUUCAUAAUAAUCAAAUAUAAUCUUUCCUAAUAGAAUACUUACCAUGGCUAAUCAAGAACUGUUUCGGAGCCAAGUAAUGUCCGACGGAUUGACGGCGGUGGUGCCAAACGCAAGGCAGCCAUUGGCGGCAGCGUCGACUUGGGGGUAGGGCUGUUUCGGGAAGAGAGAGCUAGGUGUUGAAACGGGAGGAAGGGGCGGCGACACUGACUUGGGGCCGGACUGCGGUGAAUUGAAGCGAGGGAGGGAGACUCUGGUGUUGAAACGGGGAAAGGAGAAGGGGCGGCGGCGCUGACUUGGGACGGCGAAUCGACACGGAGGAGGGAGAGUCUGUGAAAUUAGGAUUUGGGAAUUUUGGGGG